AGUGAACGCUGGCGGUAGGCCUAACACAUGCAAGUCGAACGGCAGCACAGUAAGAGCUUGCUCUUACGGGUGGCGAGUGGCGGACGGGUGAGGAAUACAUCGGAAUCUACUUUUUCGUGGGGGAUAACGUAGGGAAACUUACGCUAAUACCGCAUACGACCUACGGGUGAAAGCAGGGGAUCUUCGGACCUUGCGCGAUUGAAUGAGCCGAUGUCGGAUUUGCUAGUUGGCGGGGUAAAGGCCCACCAAGGCGACGAUCCGUAGCUGGUCUGAGGGGAUGAUCAGCCACACUGGAACUGAGACACGGUCCAGACUCCUACGGGAGGCAGCAGUGGGGAAUAUUGGACAAAGGGCGCAAGCCUGAUCCAGCCAUACCGCGUGGGUGAAGAAGGCCUUCGGGUUGUAAAGCCCUUUUGUUGGGAAAGAAAAGCAGCAGGUUAAUACCCCGCUGUUCUGACGGUACCCAAAGAAUAAGCACCGGCUAACUUCGUG
rnacentral:rRNA from 1 species